AGGUCUGAGACCACUGGCUCCUUGGAGGGCUGCAUACCCCCCACUCGUGGGAGGGGUCCUAAGUGUGAGAAACGAGGAAUGUUGACAUGGCCUCACCAAGGAAACGUGCCGUGGUAAGGUCCCCACACCCUAGCCUGGCCAGCAGGCACAGGAGCCUUAUGCUGGGUCCAGAGGUCUAGGGAGAAUUUGGGGUCCCAUGCAUCACAAUGAAAAAGCAUUGCAUCUCUAUUUUCAUUAAUGUCUAACUGCAAUUUAGCAUUUCCUCCACUAACAGCACCUGGACUUCAUCACCACUAGACACCACAGAUAUUGCUGUGCCAUGCCAUUUACAUCCAUGACACAGUGCCCUUCCCUGAGAUGUAAAACUGUCCAGCCGGCUGAUGGAGCAGCGCUGCCUGCCUAUCUCAAACAUGAGUCUUCAGGGCACAGUGACGCUGCUUCCCCACGGGAGUGUCGGAGAUGCCAUCCCGCUGUGUGCGGGUGACCUCGGAGUCCUGGCUCUUCUCCGUGUGAUCAGCAGGGACAGGAGGGUAAUAAGUUUGUGCUGCUUGAGACUGCCAGGCUGUGGUGAGACCUUAGAGCAGCGUCAAGAAACACACGCAGGCAGGAACCGGAGGCCGUCCCCAUCCAGCCAUGACCGGCUCCAGGCCUGGGGCCGCCACAGGAGGGUCACGUUGGAGGAGCCCCAAGGAACACAGCUGUGAGAGUCACCCCGGAAGAGGAGCACGGCCUGCAGCCCACGACAGAGCCAGCUGAGGUGGCCUCGCAGGAAGGAGCUGGGAGGCUCAGCGCCUGGCCCCAGCCUGCCCCUGCCCCUGCUAUCCUUCUGGGGUUCCCCGGGGGCUGGACCCCAAGGAAGCUGGCAGGACAGGAGCCUGUGAGAGCUACACCCUGCAGCUAAGCCACAGACAACAGAUGGCAGACAACAGAGCCUGGGGGUGGGAGGACAGGCUGGUCACACCGUGGACCACAAGGUCAGGAGCCAUGAGAGGCUAGGGGCCUGUGGGCUGGACCUGGGGAAAUAAGCAUCCCCUUCGCAAGUCUCAAGCGAUGCCCUCGGAUGGGCCCCAGCUUUGCUCUGCAUCCGAAUCCUGAGAGGAACCUGCAAAAAAUACAGACAUCCAGGCCCCACCCAGCAGCAUCUGAAUAAGACACUGAGUGGGGGAGGGGAGGGGGCGGUGGAGGGAGGCUGAAGGUGGAUGCUUACUGCUGCACCCGCUUCCUCCCCCACUGUCUUCCUAGUAGCUCCUUUCCUGGGAGAACGACGUCCUGUCCUCACAGCAUAUCUGGAGACUCAGUGUCUGACUCAACACGACCAUGCCCUUGACUCUGAGUGGAAUACAUGGGUCGCUUGUCUGGAAUCCAUGUGUGCCCGGUAUCCCAUGAGCUUGGCACUAGAAUUAGCUUUUGGAGAGAGACUGGCAACUGCAGUCUCUUUUGGUUCCUCAGUAAACUGGAGGGACCUGAACUUUGCCCAGGCAGGCUUGACGUUCUGUUUAUUCCACAUAUCAUUGCUUCUGCGAGGACCUUCUCAAAACAUAGGUGGUGUCUAUUGCCCUCAAAGAUGAAGAAUCAUCAUAACCAAAAAUGUGAUAUGUCCACAGUGGAUGAAUUAGCAUAAUAGUGAAGUGUUUGACUGUCCAGGGCUGCAUUUAGAUGAAGACUGAACUCACGCUGUCCACCUUGCUCACGAGUUGACAUAUACUUCCAUAUGGCACAGUUCAGGAAGAGAUUGAACUCGGCUAAGCCAUCCUUUUGUGACUUUGUAUUUGACGAUCCUAACUGGAGGAGGAAGCAGGAGUGAGAAGGAGGAACUGGAGUGAGAAGCAGGAGCUCCUAACAAUGCAGGAGACACAGGCACCAUGCGGAGAAACGCCCAGCGGCCCUUCAUGACCCAGAGCCGGGGAGCUGGGUGCGGGCAGAGGCCGCUGCACAUUCACCACGCUCACGCCACGUGCCGGCCUCAGGCUUGACAAGCUCAGGCCUUUGGUUAAAGCCUUUCUAGCACAUCAAUAUACUUUUCAUUCACAACCUAUGCUGAAGUAAAGUGCACUCUACGUGGACAAUAUUCACAGCAAUUUUAGAGACAGGUCUUAUCCUCCCUAUAUCACUCCCAGUCAUUGGUCCC
rnacentral:lncRNA from 1 species